rnacentral:rRNA from 1 species
CCUACGGGUGGCAGCAGUGAGGAAUAUUGGUCAAUGGACGCGAGUCUGAACCAGCCAAGUAGCGUGAAGGAUGACUGCCCUACGGGUUGUAAACUUCUUUUAUAAAGGAAUAAAAUGAGGCACGUGUGCCUUUUUGUAUGUACUUUAUGAAUAAGGAUCGGCUAACUCCGUGCCAGCAGCCGCGGUAAUACGGAGGAUCCGAGCGUUAUCCGGCUUUAUUGGGUUUAAAGGGAGCGUAGAUGGGAUGUUAAGUCAGUUGUGAAAGUUUGCGGCUCAACCGUAAAAUUGCAAUUGAUACUGGCAGUCUUGAGUACAGUUGAGGCAGGCGGAAUGCGUGGUGUAGCGGUGAAAUGCUUAGAUAUCACGAAGAACUCCGAUUGCGAAGGCAGCUUACUAAGCCGUGACUGACACUGAUGCUCGAAAGUGUGGGUAUCAAACAGGAUUAGAUACCCGGGUAGUC